AGAGCGAACGCUGGCGGCAUGCUUAACACAUGCAAGUCGCACGGGCACUUCGGUGUCAGUGGCGGACGGGUGAGUAACGCGUAGGUAUCUAUCCUUGGGUGGGGGACAACGGUUGGAAACGACUGCUAAUACCGCAUAAUAACUGAGGUUUAAAGGCGCAAGUCGCCUGAGGAGGAGCCUGCGUACGAUUAGCUAGUUGGUGGGGUAAAGGCCUACCAAGGCGACGAUCGUUAGCUGGUCUGAGAGGAUGAUCAGCCACAUUGGGACUGAGACACGGCCCAAACUCCUACGGGAGGCAGCAGUGGGAAUAUUGGACAAUGGGCGAAAGCCUGAUCCAGCAAUGCCGCGUGUGUGAAGAAGGUCUUCGGAUUGUAAAGCACUUUCGACAGGGACGAUGAUGACGGUACCUGUAGAAGACGCCCGGCUAACUUCGUGCCAGCAGCCGC
rnacentral:rRNA from 1 species